rnacentral:rRNA from 1 species
GUGCCAGCCGCCGCGGUAAUACCGGCAGCCCAAGUGAUGGCCGAUCUUAUUGGGCCUAAAGCGUCCGUAGCUGGCUGCGCAAGUCCGUCGGGAAAUCCACUCGCCCAACGAGUGGGCGUCCGACGGAAACUGCGCAGCUUGGGACCGGAAGGCUCGAAGGGUACGUUCGGGGUAGGAGUGGAAUCCCAUAAUCCCGGACGGACUACCGAUGGCGAAAGCACUCUGAGAAGACGGCUUCGACAGUGAGGGACGAAAGCUCGGGUCUCAAACCGGAUUAGAUACCCGUGUAAUCC